rnacentral:rRNA from 1 species
AUCCCAGGAGCUUGCUCCUGGGUGAGAGUGGCGAACGGGUGAGUAAUGCGUGACCGACCUGCCCCAUACACCGGAAUAGCUCCUGGAAACGGGUGGUAAUGCCGGAUGCUCCAGUUGGAUGCAUGUCCUUCUGGGAAAGAUUCAUCGGUAUGGGAUGGGGUCGCGUCCUAUCAGCUUGAUGGCGGGGUAACGGCCCACCAUGGCUUCGACGGGUAGCCGGCCUGAGAGGGCGACCGGCCACAUUGGGACUGAGAUACGGCCCAGACUCCUACGGGAGGCAGCAGUGGGGAAUAUUGCACAAUGGGCGCAAGCCUGAUGCAGCGACGCCGCGUGCGGGAUGACGGCCUUCGGGUUGUAAACCGCUUUUGACUGGGAGCAAGCCCUUCGGGGUGAGUGUACCUUUCGAAUAAGCACCGGCUAACUACGUGCCAGCAGCCGCGGUAAUACGUAGGGUGCAAGCGUUAUCCGGAAUUAUUGGGCGUAAAGGGCUCGUACGCGGUUCGUCGCGUCCGGUGUGAAAGUCCAUCGCUUAACGGUGGAUC